GUUCCAAUAUGUAGCAACCCGUGACAGGAAAUACCCCCAGCAGGUGAUUUGGGCACACGGGCUGUGACCCCGAUGGGGGAGAUUUAUGGCAUGGUUUGAAAAUUGAUGCAAAGUUGUAAAAGUUGAACAAUCGUCAUGGUAAUCAGCUUGCAUAUUUCUUUGGUGAUUAUUCGACUUUCACAAAUAUAUGUAACACUUUUCUACCAUUACACAGCUGGUACAUUUAGAG